rnacentral:rRNA from 1 species
UACGAAGGGGGCUAGCGUUGCUCGGAAUCACUGGGCGUAAAGCGCACGUAGGCGGAUCGUUAAGUCAGGGGUGAAAUCCUGGAGCUCAACUCCAGAACUGCCUUUGAUACUGGCGACCUUGAGUUCGGGAGAGGUGAGUGGAACUGCGAGUGUAGAGGUGAAAUUCGUAGAUAUUCGCAAGAACACCAGUGGCGAAGGCGGCUCACUGGCCCGAUACUGACGCUGAGGUGCGAAAGCGUGGGGAGCAACAGG